AUUGAACGCUGGCGGCAUGCCUUACACAUGCAAGUCGAACGGCAGCACGGGAGCAACCCUGGUGGCGAGUGGCGAACGGGUGAGUAAUAUAUCGGAACGUGCCCAGUCGUGGGGGAUAACGUAGCGAAAGCUACGCUAAUACCGCAUACGAUCUAUGGAUGAAAGCGGGGGAUCGCAAGACCUCGCGCGAUUGGAGCGGCCGAUAUCAGAUUAGGUAGCUGGUGGGGUAAAGGCUCACCAAGCCGACGAUCUGUAGCUGGUCUGAGAGGACGACCAGCCACACUGGGACUGAGACACGGCCCAGACUCCUACGGGAGGCAGCAGUGGGGAAUUUUGGACAAUGGGCGCAAGCCUGAUCCAGCAAUGCCGCGUGCAGGAUGAAGGCCUUCGGGUUGUAAACUGCUUUUGUACGGAGCGAAAAGGCUUCCACUAAUACUGGGGGCUCAUGACGGUACCGUAAGAAUAAGCACCGGCUAACUACGUGCCAGCAGCCGCGGUAAGAC
rnacentral:rRNA from 1 species